rnacentral:rRNA from 1 species
UACGUAGGGUGCGAGCGUUAAUCGGAAUUACUGGGCGUAAAGCGUGCGUAGGCGGUUCGUUAAGUUCGUUGUGAAAGCCCCGGGCUCAACCUGGGAAUGGCAAUGGAAACUGGCAGGCUAGAGUGUGGCAGAGGGGGGUGGAAUUCCACGUGUAGCAGUGAAAUGCGUAGAGAUGUGGAGGAACACCGAUGGCGAAGGCAGCCCCCUGGGCUAACACUGACGCUCAUGCACGAAAGCGUGGGGAGCAAACAGG